AGUGAACGCUGGCGGUAGGCCUAACACAUGCCAGUCGAACGGCAGCACAGUAAGAGCUUGCUCUUACGGGUGGCGAGUGGCGGACGGGUGAGGAAUACAUCGGAAUCUACUUUUUCGUGGGGGAUAACGUAGGGAAACAUACGCUAAUACCGCAUACGACCUACGGGUGAAAGCAGGGGAUCUUCGGACCUUGCGCGAGUGAAUGAGCCGAUGUCGGAUUAGCUAGUUGGCGGGGUAAAGGCCCACCAAGGCGACGAUCCGUAGCUGGUCUGAGAGGAUGAUCAGCCACACUGGAACUGAGACACGGUCCAGACUCCUACGGGAGGCAGCAGUGGGGAAUAUUGGACAAUGGGCGCAAGCCUGAUCCAGCCAUACCGCGUGGGUGAAGAAGGCCUUCGGGUUGUAAAGCCCUUUUGUUGGGAAAGAAAAGCAGCAGGUUAAUACCCCGCUGUUCUGACGGUACCCAAAGAAUAAGCACCGGCUAACUUCGUG
rnacentral:rRNA from 1 species